GAUGAACGCUGGCGGCGUGCCUAACACAUGCAAGUCGAACGGAGUCCAGCCUUUAAGAUCCUCGGGUGAAAGGGGGGAAGACUGAGUGUCGGACGGGUGAGUAACACGUGUGCUACCUGGCUCAUAGAGGGGGAUAACAGAGAGUAAUUCCUGCUAAUACCGCAUAAGCAAACACUGCCGCAUGGCAGAGGGUGAAAAGUGAAUCGGUAUGAGAUGGAGGCGCUACUUAGUAGGCAGUUGGCAGGGUAAGAGGCUACCAAAGAGACGAUCAGUAGCCGAGCUGGGAGGAAGAACCGACACACUGGGGGUGAGACACGGCCCGAACUCCUACGGAAGGCAGCAGUGGGGGAUACUGCACAACGGGGGGAACAAUGAUGCAGCGAGGCCGUGUGAGUGAAGUAGUAGUGAGGUAUGUAAAGCAGUAUCAGAAGGGAAGAUAAUGACGGUACCUAAAUAAGAAGCCCCGGCUAACUACGUG
rnacentral:rRNA from 1 species